rnacentral:rRNA from 1 species
UCUCCACAAUGGACGAAAGUCUGAUGGAGCAACGCCGCGUGAGUGAAGAAGGGUUUCGGCUCGUAAAGCUCUGUUGGUAGUGAAGAAAGAUAGAGGUAGUAACUGGCCUUUAUUUGACGGUAAUUACUUAGAAAGUCACGGCUAACUACGUGCC